rnacentral:misc_RNA from 1 species
CGUGAAAGUUUAUCGGUUGUAAACGACACCCUAGCGAAGUGCAGAAAAGGUUAGGUUGUGUUCCCAUAUAAAAGUUACAUACUCGGUAUCGCGAUUUAUUUAGAUCCAUUUAGGUGGAUUUAUAGGAAGACUGUUGUUAUACAAAUCGAUGGUUAACAUUAUUAUCUUUCAAUUAGAGUAUUUAUAUUGUAUAUGGUUCAUAACUUGGAUAAUUUAAUAAUUAUGGACUAUAUCUUAAAUUGUCAUUUGAAGUAUCCACACUAGAUUUAAUUUGGAUCACGUGACCAGAAAACGAGAACAUGUCGCCGACAGUUUGCUCUCACGAAAAAACGAGAGCGCCACUCGUAUGCAUACGUAACAAAGAUAUGAACGUGUUGGUGGUGUCGUUGACGUUAGUCGUGCGAUUUGAAAUGGUGAUGUUAUGGAUUCGAGUGUUUUGCUUGGAAAAUGGUGAUUUUCGGAGACUUGCAAAUACAGUGCAUAGGGCAUCGCGCAGUUCUUGGAGACAAUGUAGCAAUGUAAGCCCAUGAUACUGAUUCCAUUUUACGCAAUCUGAUUUCUAUGUAAGU